GGGGCCGUAGCUCAGUUGGGAGAGCGCAGCAAUCGCACUGCUGAGGUCGCCGGUUCGAUUCCGGCCGGCUCCACCA
rnacentral:tRNA from 2 species